GGAAAAACAAAAACAAAUAAAGAUAUUGGUUAUGCUACAUAUUCCAAACUAUAUCAGACAUGCGUCUGUCCUGUUCUGGACUAUUCAGCAGGAGUGUGGGGUGCUAAGAGGUAUUUUAAAAACAAAACAUUUUCAUAACAGAGCAGUGCAUUAUUUUUUAGUUGUCCACAAGUUGCACCUAUACUUGCAAUAACUGGGCUGGGAACCCUGUGAGUUGAGAUGGAAGGCAUGUAUGGUGAGAAUUUGGAAUAGACUGUUGGAUAUCCCAACAGCCAGAAUAGCUAGUAAUGUUUUUCAAUGGGAUCUCUGCAUAUUGAAACAGGUCAGAUCAGGGAUAUUGCCUCUGCGUAUUGAAACAGGUCAGAUCAGGGAUAUUGCCUCUGCGUAUUGAAACAGGUCAGAUCAGGGAUAUUGCCUCUGCGUAUUGAAACAGGUCAGAUCAGGGAUAUUGCCUCUGCUUAUUGAAACAGGUCAGAUCAGGGAUAUUGUCUGUGGGUAUUGAAACAGGUCAUAUCAGGGAUAUUGUCUCUGCGUAUUGAAACAGGUCAGAUGAGGGAUAUUGCCUCUGCGUAUUGAAACAGGUCAGAUGAGGGAUAUUGCCUCUGCGUAUUGAAACAGGUCAGAUCAGGGAUAUUUCAUCUGCGUAUUGAAACAGGUCGGUAUUGUGGUGAAAUGAAAGAGGAAAGCCUAUGUAAUUAUUGUGACCUCAAAGAAAUAGAGAAUGAAACUCAUGUUGUCCUCUAUUACCCUUUCAACCCAAUAUACGCU
ensembl:lncRNA